GGCGCUGUGGCUCAAGUGGUAGAGCACCAGCCCUAGGAGCUGAUGAGCUGAGGGACAGCGCCC
rnacentral:tRNA from 1 species